GAACGCUGGCGGCGUGCUUAACACAUGCAAGUCGAACGAAGCAUUUGCGACAGAUCUUUCGGAGUGAAGUUGCAUAUGACUGAGUGGCGGACGGGUGAGUAACGCGUGAGGAACCUGCCUUUCAGAGGGGGACAACAGUUGGAAACGACUGCUAAUACCGCAUAACGCAUAGAGAUCGCAUGGUCUUUAUGCCAAAGAUUUAUCGCUGAAAGAUGGCCUCGCGUCUGAUUAGCUAGUUGGCGAGGUAACGGCCCACCAAGGCGACGAUCGGUAGGGGUUCUGAGAGGAAGGUCCCCCACAUUGGAACUGAGACACGGUUCAAACUCCUACGGGAGGCAGCAGUGAGGAAUAUUGGUCAAUGGGCGAAAGCCUGAACCAGCCAAGUAGCGUGCAGGAUGACGGCCCUAUGGGUUGUAAACUGCUUUUAGGCGGGGGUAAAGGGGCGGACGUGUUCCGCCUUUGCAAGUACCGCCAGAAAAAGGACCGGCUAAUUCCGUG
rnacentral:rRNA from 1 species